rnacentral:rRNA from 1 species
UACGUAGGGCGCAAGCGUUGUCCGGAAUUAUUGGGCGUAAAGAGCUCGUAGGCGGUUUGUCGCGUCUGCUGUGAAAACCUAAGGCUCAACCUUGGGCUUGCAGUGGGUACGGGCAGACUAGAGUGCGGUAGGGGUGACUGGAAUUCCUGGUGUAGCGGUGGAAUGCGCAGAUAUCAGGAGGAACACCGAUGGCGAAGGCAGGUCACUGGGCCGCAACUGACGCUGAGGAGCGAAAGCAUGGGGAACGAACAGG